UUACUUACCUGGAAAAGGAGAUUGCAUGAUCAAAAAGGUGGUUUACCCGGGAGUGAUGUCUACUUAUUGCAUUCCAGAUGUGCUAUCCCCUGCAAUUUCCCAAAAUGUGGAAAACUCUACUGUGUAAUAUAUGGUAGUGGGGGACAGCAUUCACCUUCUCCCCUA